UACAGAGGUCUCAAGCGUUGUUCGGAUUCAUUGGGCGUAAAGGGUGCGUAGGCGGCGCGGUGAGUCGGAUGUGAAAUCUCGGGAGCUUAACUCCGAAACUGCAUUCGAUACUGCCGUGCUUGAGGACUGGAGAGGAGACUGGAAUUUACGGUGUAGCGGUGAAAUGCGUAGAUAUCGUAAGGAAGACCAGUGGCGAAGGCGGGUCUCUGGACAGUUCCUGACGCUGAGGCACGAAGGUCAGGGGAGCAAACGGG
rnacentral:rRNA from 1 species